ensembl:snRNA U6 U6 spliceosomal RNA
GUACUUACCUCAGCAGCAUAUAUACUAAAACUGAAAUGAUAGAGAGAUUAGCAUGGCCCCUGUGUAAGGAUGACAUACAAAUUCAUGAAGGGUUCCAUAUUUUU